UUACCUGUUAGCAAUGAAUGACUAGGGUUGUUCCGAAGACGGAAGGAAUGCCUCAGGGGCUCGGGGGUCGGCUCUGGACUGGAGAGGAGGCUGCUGAAGGAAGCUGUCGGAGAUGUGACGGCUUUGUCUCCUCACGCCUUCUCCCUCGUCUGUGACGGGAUCGGCCGCUGGGUCUCCCCUGCAAUGCAGCCCCUCCUAGCAAGGGCGGAAGCACUCCCCGCCCCCUCUCUGCCUGACUCGGCUAAUUCGAGGGAUAGGUUCCGGAACACGCCACCCAGGGUAGAGCCUCUCCAUCGGCUCGCACCGCACCCCCACCUCUCCAAGCACCCUCGUGCUGACUGGAGUGCAUGGCUGAGCAGUUAAUUGUCCUCCAAGAUGUACGGGUUAAAAAGUCUUCCCACUAAACAACAGAACGGCCCUCCUUUCCCAUUAUAAGGACUGAAGGGGACUUUGGGAGACUCGGAAAGGGCCCCAGCACAUCGUCCUCUCAGAGCCUGCAGCAGAUGGACAGACCUAGCGCAGACACCUGGGGUGCCGCGGGUGUCCCAUAGCGUAGUGCUUGCCGCUGUUCCCGCGGGCCACGUCGUGCGCCCCGAAGCUGGGCGGAGCGCUGCGCUCGGCUCUCAGCCCCUGGGUUUCGUAAUCGCGUCGCCGGCGUUUCCGCCCUCGGCCGGCCCCACCUCUGCCCGCCCGCCCUCGAUUCCCCGCCGUGCCGAGCAGCAAGCCCGGGGACCCGGAGUGGCGGAACCCCCGCCCGCAGUGGGGACGCCGGGGAGCGGCAGGAUUCCGCAUCCAAAGACGACAGGACCUUCUGCCUGCCUUCCCAAGCCUCUUGCUGGUGCUCCUAGUGGCUCCGCUGAGUCAGACUCUGACUUUCACCGAAAGACUCCUUACUGGCCUCUAGGAUUGCUGCCUUUUCCCAGCCCAUCUGGUUGAGUGAACAGAGAGUGUUGUUACCCCUGAGUGUGAGGACUGGUUGGUUAGCAACAAACAAGAGCCCCCUGGGGCCUCUGGCAGCGGCCUGAAGCUGGAACCAUCAGGGAAUAUGAGUGAGUUUUGGCACAAACUGGGCUGCUGCGUGGUGGAGAAGCCCCAGCCGAAGAAGAGGAGAAGACGGAUUGACCGCACCAUGAUUGGGGAGCCAAUGAACUUCGUCCACCUGACUCACAUCGGCUCUGGGGAGAUGGGGGCUGGAGAUGGACUUGCCAUGACAGGUGCUGUUCAGGAGCAGAUGAGAUCCAAGGGGAACCGGGACAGACCAUGGAGCAACUCUAGGGCCUUGUAGCUCCCGUGGGCCUGGUUUUGCAGUCUUGGAGUUCCUAUUCUGUGUCCAACCCAGAAGAAAUGCCAUCACCAGAUCCCUUCCACCAGUGACCGACCCAAGGGCCCUCUCUCUAACAAGUGCCUCAAAAGGAGUGGGGGCUGGACUCCCUCUACUCCCUCUGGCCUCUGCCCCUCCUGGAGAUGGGGGUCAAGGCAGCAGGACUGACCAAGUGACUACUGGUGGGCCAGAGGAACACAGCUGAAGCCCUGCACACCCUUGAUCUGAGCUGGGGGUUCUCUGGGAACCUGGAAUGGGUUCCCUGCUCUGGAAUGAAGGUCGGGUGCCGCCUGUUUCAACUUCUUGCCUUUAUUCUUUAAUUGGCAGGCAGGUGCGGGAGCCACAGCUGAACCCGACUUUGCUACAGUUCUCCCUGCUUCCCUGCCCUCCCUUUCCUACUGGAAUGAGCAAUGCAGAGGUUAUGGGGCUGGGUGACCACUGCCCAAUCCACUCUGGAUUUCAGACCUUAAGGUCACAGCCCCGCCAUGUGUCUCUGCAGACACCAGGGUCUUGCUCCAGUUAGGCCUCUAAUCCCUUGCUUUUGUAGUAUUAAUAGCUUCCCAGAAAUAUUUUUUGUAAUUAAAAUUUGAAUUUGAGUUCUUUUAAUUACCCCCAUCCUGCUUCCCCGUCCUUUCCCUGUCCCUAUAAGAAACCUUAGGUGUCCCACUGAGUAAGAAUUAAGGGAUGGAUCUUAAUUUGACCACAUUCCACUUAAGGCUUGGAGUCCUUGCCUGCCCUCUGUCAGCCGCCCUGCUGGCCCAGGUGAAAGGAAGAGGAGGGUUCUGGAUAAAAAGCCAGGAUGUAGCAAGAUCAGCUGUAUCUCAGGGUAGACUUCCUGUGGGGGUAAUGAGGUAAACGGGUUGAGAGCACUCUUCGGAGCACAGGCCCUAAGAUCCAUUAUGGAAGCGUAGCUUUUCAACUCGAACACUUGAAAAGAGCUGGGACAGUUUGGGCUGCACCAUGCUCUGUAAUGGAGGGUUGUUCGGCACCGACCACAGCAUCUCUGCUCUCGCCCAACCCCCAGCCCAGUGUGGCAACCAAAAUAUCUCGAGAAAUUGCCAAAUGUCUCCCAGGGAUAAAAUCAUCCACAGUUGAGAGCCACAGUUUUGAAAGUCAAGCUGUGUUUUCCUUAAGUGGUUUCCACAUGGCCUUCCCACCCGCAGCCUGGUGAGCCAGCACCCUCAGAGGGCAGGCUCAGCAGAACCCCGCACAUCCUUAGUUCAGCUGUGUUGUUUGUGCUCAAGUCUCUGCAGAGACGGGACGGGCCGUGCUGGGAUGAGAGCAGAGGAUCAGAAGCUGCAGGCACUGGCUGUGCUGUCCGUGCUAAGCGCCUCUCUGCUCUAGUCUUUGAACCCAGCGUAAGACUCAGGGACUUUGGAAGAUCAGGUGUCACCACGUGGCUAAAGAGUGUGCUUUAGAUGGGAAGGCGCUGUAGGAGCAGAGUCUUUAGGCCCUUUGUUUUCUCAGGUGUUUUUGUUCUGGCCCUUUCUUUGCAGGCUGAUUAGAAAGGCAGAACAAGACAGACAAGCUCCUGACUGCUCCUAGAAAAGAGGGCCGGGGUCUCAUUAGCUUUGUAAUAGGAAGCUUGUUUUGUGGUAAUGGGUCAGGGUUGUGGAAACUGAUCUGUGCCUGCUGCCUCCCUCCGUCCAGUUACCCCCGGUCUAGUGACUGAGACUUUCAUUUGUCCAAAGCUCUGCACUCUGGUGUCUCAGGCUCUAAGACUGGUCACGGAUGUCCACUCGGAGUUUGCCUCCGUGCGGUUUCAGUCAGGCCUGCCUCCCUAAGGGAGUUCACCUCAUAGCCCUAGAGGAGCUUAUUAAUUGGAGGCUACGUGAAUACUUGCUGGAGGACCUGUGUCCCCUGGCAGCAUGCUCCCAGGAAGGCCAUUGGCAAAAGGUUGGACAUAGUGUGGGUGACCCUGAGCUCCAGUUGUGCGUUAGUUUUUUGAGCAGUCCUUCCUGCUGAUGCUCUUCUGCCUCGAGCUACCUUCUCUAGUAUGUCUGCUGCCACCACUUAACAAGGUGAUUGGAAUGAGUUUGAGUCAUAAUUUAUAUUAAAAAGUUGAUGAUGGACUUUUAAGAUACAUUUUUUUCCAAUAAAAGAAUUAAGCAAAAAUGGUUUCAGAGGAAUCACUACAAAUGUGUGUUAGAUCAAAAGUUGGGCAUGGCUGAUGUAGAAAACAAUGUGGCAGAGAAGGAAUUUUGUUUCAACAUAGCCUUUCCUGAAGAGAAGACAGUACUGGAUAGGUAAGGAAAAGCCACCAUGCUAUUUCCUUUCAUUUGGUGUUUGAAAACUACUUAUUUUGACCAGGUGUGUUCGCACACACCCUUAAUCCUAGCCUUCAAGGGGCCGGUGAAUCUCUGCGUUUGAGACCAGUCUUUUCUACCCAGCAAGUUAGAGCUAUGUAGUAAGAUACCAUCUUUUUUUUAAGAUUUAUUUUUUAUUUAUCUGAGUAUACUGCAGUUAUCUUCAGACACACCAGAAGAGGUCAAUCAGAUCUCAUUACAGAUGGUUGUGAGCCACCAUGUGGUUGCUGGGAAUUGAACUCAGGACCUCUGGAAGAGCAGUCAGUGCUCUUAACCUCUGAGCCAUCUCUCCAGCCCGUAAGAUACCAUCUUAAAAG
ensembl:lncRNA Cdc42se1 CDC42 small effector 1